rnacentral:tRNA from 1 species
GCCCGUUUGGUGUAGUGGAUUUCUGCGCAUUCGCCUUCUAAGCGAGCAGUGGAAGUUCGAUUCUUCCAACGGGCU